rnacentral:tRNA from 1 species
GGGGAUGUUGCUCAGAGGUAGUGCAUUUGCCUCACAUGCAAGAGACCCUGGUUCCAUCCCCA